GAGCCCGUGGCUUAAUGGUAGAGCGUUGGACUCAAAUACCAAAAAUGGCGGGUUCGAAUCCCAGGUGUG
rnacentral:tRNA from 1 species